rnacentral:ncRNA from 2 species
UACUUAUCCAGAAAGACGGAGGGAAAGGCCCGAAGAAGUCUUAGCAACCUGUAAACUCUGUUACAAGGUGCUCAUUCCUUUCUGCUAUAUGCAGAGCUGAUAAGUC